GAGUGAAGURGGAASAGWUAWGAUUGAAGCUGGCGUCUUCGACGUCCGCAUUGUAAUCUCAAGAAGCGUUUUCCGCUUCGGACCAUGCCUAAGUCCCUUGGAAAAGGGCAUCAUAGAGGGUGAUAAUCCCGUACAUGGCAUGGAGCGCCCGAAGCUUUGUGAUACGUUUUCUAAGAGUCGAGUUGUUUGGGAAUGCAGCUCAAAAUGGGUGGUAAAUGCCAUCUAAGGCUAAAUAUUGGGGAGAGACCGAUAGCGAACAAGUACAGUGAUGGAAAGAUGAAAAGAACUUUGAAAAGAGAGUUAAACAGUACGUGAAAUUGCCAAAAGGGAAGGGUAGGAGGUCAGAGAUGCGUCUUGGAAUUCAGCCUUGCUUUUUGCUUGGUGUUUUUUCCAAGUUUGCAGGCCAACGUCGGUUUUGGGCACUGGAGAAGGGUGGAAGGAACGUGGCACCCCUCGGGGUGUGUUAUAGCCUUCCACUGGAUACAGCGACCGAGACCGAGGACAGCAGCGUACUCGCAAGAGCGGGCCCUCGGGCACCUUUACGCUUAGGGGCGUUGGCAUAAUGGCCCUCUACCACCCGUCUUGAAACACGGACCAAGGAGUCUAACAUGUAUGCGAGUCUUUGGGUGGCAAACCCMUAGGCGCAAUGAAAGUGAAUUCAGGUGGGAUCCGCAAGGUGCACCAUCGACCGAUCCUCACGUCUUUUAAGUCGUGGAUUUGAGUAAGAGCAUACCUGUUGGGACCCGAAAGAUGGUGAACUAUGCCUGAAUAGGGUGAAGCCAGAGGAAACUCUGGUGGAGCUCGUAGCGGUCUGACGUGCAAAUCGAUCGUCAAUUUGGGUAUAGGGGCGAAAGACUAAUCGAACCAUCUAGUAGCUGGUUCCUGCGAAGUUU
rnacentral:rRNA from 1 species